CUUUUCCAACCCGGCUUUAACAAUAUAGAUUACCUUUCAAAGAACCAUCCACGUUUUCCGCUUUUGGGGCCUUACGGAUUUUACAACCUAUUCGACAAGUUGGGGGUAAUAUUAAAGAACAACAUUACAUGCCUUGUACAAAAAAUGAACCCCGAUGAUAGUAACAGGGCGUCUCCUGAACCAACGCGGAAAACAAACACAACAGAAAAUGAUAAUUUAGAACCGACACGCUAAUAUACAACUAUAUAUAUUCAUCAAUACAUAAGAACCUGUUCUUCAUAUAACUGCAUGAGAAUUAACUCUAAUUUAUAAGAUUGUCUCGUGUUAACUUAAUAUUUAUACAAGUGUUUGUUUUGUAACUGCUACUAUUGUAGAGUCUAGAGACUCAACUACUCUGUCGCACUCUUUUUAUCUUAAGGCUUGUAGAAAGGCCGAAUUCACUAAACUUACUGCUUGUUGCCUGUAACCUAA